rnacentral:rRNA from 1 species
UAGUCCUACGGGGGGCAGCAGUGGGGAAUAUUGCACAAUGGGGGAAACCCUGAUGCAGCAACGCCGCGUGAAGGAAGACGGUUUUCGGAUUGUAAACUUCCGUUCUUAGUGAAGAAAAAUGACGGUACCUGACUAAGAAGCCCCGGCUAACUACGUGCCAGCAGCCGCGGUAAUACGUAGGGGGCAAGCGUUAUCCGGAUUUACUGGGUGUAAAGGGAGCGUAGACGGCAGUGCAAGUCUGAAGUGAAAGGCAAGGGCUCAACCCUUGGACUGCUUUGGAAACUGUGCUGCUCGAGUGUCGGAGG